UGGUGUGCUAUUUUGAACAAUUUUGUACGAUGUCAGGAAUCAGCUACGAAUUUUUAUAAAUUUAUUGAUUCCAUUGCAUCAUCUACUUAUAUUUCAGAAGAAUCUGGAAGCACGGAGUAUGAUGCUAAAAGAGCUAUUCAGAACAAUCCCAGCUAUUGGUGUAGCUCUGGUAAUCAUAUAAAAGACGAAGAGAUUACAUGGACAGGUUAUUUGAACACAAAAGGGUUUAUUAAUGGAGUAAAGAUAUCAUGGGAGUAUAGUCCUGAAUUUGUUAGUAUAUCUGUUUCAUCUGAUGGAGAAAAUUAUAAUAAUGUGAUUCCAUAUAAAAGGAUAUCAGAUAAUCAAGCUUCGUUUGAUGAAAUAUAUUUUUUUAAAAAAUUAGAAGAAGUGAUAUCAGUACGUAUUGGAUUAAAGAAUGCUAUACAUAAAUAUUUUGGUAUUCGUGAAGUAAGAGUUUUGGGUGCUGGUAAUCCUUAUUUUUUAUUAUUAUCAGGUAUAACAAGUGAAGAUGAAAUGUGUUUACAAGUAGAAGAAGGUUUAAUAAACAAUGACAAUACACCUGUAAUUUUAGAUUCAUGUAUAAAUGCUUUAGCAAGUGGUGAUGGUAGAGAGUUAUGGAAAAGUAAUUCUAAUAAUCAGAUAAUAAGUGCUUUUAGUGAUCCACCUAAAUGUUUAUCUGUUAUUAAUUUAGAUGAUUUAGAAAAAAAUAAACUAAUAUUAUAUGAUUGUUUAACUGCUUUAGAAGAUGGGGAUGGUAAAUCAAAUUGGGUUUUUGAAUCGAAUUCUCAAAUUCGAUUACAAAGAAGUGGUGAACCUUUAUGUAUAUCUCAAAAAAAUAUUUAUAGUAAUAAACCAGGUAUUUCUGAUAUUCUUUUAAAUAUGGAUGUAUCAGUAGAAGCUAGUUCUUUAUUAGAUGAUGAUCAUAAUGCUGAAAAUACGAUUGACAAUAAUUUGAAUAGUUUCUGGGCUUCUACUACAUUUUCAAAUAAUUAUGAACAUUUAGUUAAUUUUUUAGUAGAUUUGAAUACAUUAGUUGAUAUAUCUCGAAUUAAAAUAUAUUGGGAGUAUCCUCCAUUACAUUAUAGUAUUAAUGUGAGCUCUGAUGGUCAUAAUUUUAAAAAUGUGAUUGAAAAUUUAGCAAAUCCUAGUUUUAUAACAUUAGAUACGUUGAAAAAUAUUGAAACACGUUUUAUUAAAAUAUCUAUGAUUAAAACACAUCCGAUACAUGGUGAAAUGGGUGAUCAAUUUUUGUAUGGUAUACGAUCUAUAGAAGUACAAGCUAAUAAUUUAGAAACUGUUUUAAACUUUUGUAGGGAUGCUGCAAAUUCGGAUGAUUCUAGGGAUAAAUAUUUUAUUGAAUAUAUAACUGAGUUUAAUGAAGAACUAACGAACAAAUUAAUAAACAUGGAAGAAGAUGUUUCUAAAAGUGUCAAUUCGAUUAGUAACAAUUUAACAAAGUUAGAAGAAUUAUUACCUAAUAUUGAGAACUGUUUAGAAGAAAAAAAAAGUUAUGAUGAAAAAUUAACAAUUUCGAAUGAAAAAGCAAAUACUUUGAAUGAUAAACUUUCUUCUAUAGUAUCUAUUGAUUUAAUGCAUGAUAAAGAUUUGAUACGAUUAGGUAUGGUUCCAGGUGAUUCUUUUUCCUACCCAGCUAAUGAUUGUUCUGUUAUAAAAAAUUUAGAAGAAAUACCACAAUCCGGUUUUUAUUGGAUAAAACCGAAAUGUGCUCCAGAGGUAUUAAGAGUAUAUUGUGAUAUGGAAUCAAGUACAUCUAUUUACAUAUUGAAUAAAAAAAUGGCUAACCAAGUGGACAGUGGUGGUGGUAGUACCGAUUCAGUGAAUCCUAAAAUAGUAAAUUCGGUUGAUGAUAUUAAAAGAUAUUGUGCCGAAGUUGGUUUAGAACCAUUAAUUUUAAAAUCGGAAAGUCAGUUAAAUAGUUUAAUUGUAUCAUUGAAAAGAAUGGGAUAUACAUUAAAUGGUAAAAUAAACAUUCCAUUGGCAUAUGAUUACAGUUGUGACCAUGAUAAUUGUAGUGGUAAAUUUCAUGAUUUAUUAAAUGGUAAUAUAGAUUUAUCAAGUAUUAUUUAUUCAAGAACAUCUGAAUCACCAGAUAGUAGUAAAAAUCGCCAAACUGCUGGUAUAUCUUAUGAUGAUGGGUCAUUUAAAUUUUUUAAUUUAAAAACAUCAGAUAUAUCUUCUAUUGUUUGUUCCACUAAUUUGACUGAAAAUGAUGCAACAUUACAAUAUUUGAGUAUAAAUUGUGAAACAACUGCAAUGGAAAGUGAUUUUAAUGCAAUUUUAAAUACCAAUGUUGUUGUGUUUUGUCCGAUUGGGUGUGAUAGUGAAAAAUAUGAACAUGUUCCAGUGUAUGGAAGUAAAGGGGUAUAUUCAGAUAAUAGUUCGAUUUGUAGAGCAGCUAUACAUUCUGGUGUUAUAACAAACAAAGGAGGGUUAGUAAAUGUAACAAUCGAAACAGAGUUAGAUCAUUAUGAAGGUACUACAAGUAAUAAUAUCGAAUCUAUUUCGUUGGAUAAAGAUGCAAGUCAAUUACAUGAUAUAAUUAUUAGUGGGGAAAAAGAAAAUGUAAAACAAAAAAGUACAUUGUUUUAUCAUAGAAGUAUACGAAUUGGAAAUUUGACAAAAGAUUGUCCUUUAGAUUUGUAUCAAUACAAACAAACAGCAUUUUUGGAGAAAAGAAAUAUGACAACUUCUACAAUGAGCAGUAGCAAAGAAUUAAAAUAUAAUGCAGAAAAUGAAGUAGGGGGAGAGGAAGAUUCGAAUAUAGAAGGAGCUAAAUUUCAUGAAAUUAUUGAUGAAUUAUUUAAUACUAUUGAUUCGAUACAUGGUGUAGAUUCUUCUGUCAUUUCGAUUGUUCAAAAUGAAACAACACGUGUUAUUGAGAAAACAAAAAAAGAGUUAAAACCAGCUGAUAUAUUAUCUAAAAAACAAGUGGAAGGUACUAUGAAUUUGUAUACAUUAACUGAAAAUUUAGCAUUAUAUUUAUAUGACCUUUCCUCUAAAUAUAUGUACGAUUUGGAUAAAUUAAAAGAAAGAUUAGAAGAAUUAAAAAGAGUACAAAAAGUUACUCACAAUUUUGGUACGGUUAAAUUAAAUUAUAAAACAAUGAAUUUUUCUUCUCUUUUUCAUAUUUUUGAUUCUAAGAUAAUAAAAAAUAAUCCAAGUAAAUGGGGAUAUGUAGAUACUGAAAUAUUAGGUCAUAAAAAUAGUAUUGGACAAUUGAGUAGUAUAUCAAACACUGAAAUUAGUGAAGGGUAUUAUGCAACAUUAAAAGGGUUAAAUUUCUAUGAUUUUGAAAUAAAUGUAAGUAUUUUAAGUAAAGGAACUGGUUGUUUUGGUAUUGUAUUUAGAGCAAAGGAUGAUUUUAAUUUUUAUUUAUUUGAUGUAUGUGAUAAAGAAGGAUUAAAAAGAUUAUCGAAAGUGGAAAAUGGAGAAGUUACUAUAUUAAAACAGUAUGAGGAAAAUGUAUAUACAAACAACAAAUGGGAUAAAUAUCAAAUUGUUACAAAACAUGCAAAUAUUGACAUAUACGAAUUGGAUGAUAUAGGAAAUAAGGUAAAAAUAUUAAGUUCUAUUGACGAACGAUUUUUAUCCGGAACAGUUGGUUUAUAUUCUCAAAUU
rnacentral:lncRNA from 1 species